UCCUACGGGAGGCAGCAGUGGGGAAUAUUGCACAAUGGGCGAAAGCCUGAUGCAGCAACGCCGCGUGAAGGAAGACGGUUUUCGGAUUGUAAACUUCUGUUCUUAGUGAAGAAUAAUGACGGUAACUAAGGAGCAAGCCACGGCUAACCACGUGCCAACAGCCGCGGUAAUACGUAGGGAGCGAGCGUUGUCCGGAAUUACUGGGUGUAAAGGGAGCGUAGGCGGGCUUGUAAGUUGAAUGUCUAAUCCACCGGCUCAACCGGUGAUCGCGUUCAAAACUGCAGGUCUUGAGUGAAGUAGAGGCA
rnacentral:rRNA from 1 species